GUGGGUUAACCCGGGAAACUGGGUAUAAUACCCGAUAGGUCUCGAUUGCUGGAAUGCAUCGAGAUUUAAAGCUCCGGCGCCUAAGGAUGGGUCUGCGGCCUAUCAGGUAGUAGUGGGUGUAGCGUACCUACUAGCCUACGACGGGUACGGGUUGUGAGAGCAAGAGCCCGGAGAUGGAUUCUGAGACACGAAUCCAGGCCCUACGGGGUGCAGCAGGCGCGAAAACUUUACAAUGCUGGCAACAGCGAUAAGGGAACCUCGAGUGCCAGGUUACAAAUCUGGCUGUCGAGAUGCCUAAAAAGCAUUUCAUAGCAAGGGCCGGGCAAGACCGGUGCCAGCCGCCGCGGUAACACCGGCGGCUCGAGUGGUAACCGUUAUUAUUGGGUCUAAAGGGUCUGUAGCCGGCCGGAUAAGUCUCUUGAGAAAUCUGGCAGCUUAACUGUCAGGCUUUCAGGAGAUACUGUCUGGCUCGAGGCCGGGAGAGGUGAGAGGUACUUCAGGGGUAGGGGUGAAAUCUUGUAAUCCUUGAAGGACCACCAGUGGCGAAGGCGUCUCACCAGAACGGACCUGACGGCAAGGGACGAAAGCCAGGGGCGCGAACCGGAUUAGAUACCCGGGUAGUCCUGGCCGUAAACGAUGUGGACUUGGUGUUGGGAUGGCCUCGAGCUGCCCCAGUGCCGAAGGGAAGCUGUUAAGUCCACCGCCUGGGAAGU
rnacentral:rRNA from 1 species